rnacentral:rRNA from 1 species
CAGCUAGUUGGCGGGGUAAUGGCCCACCAAGGCAACGACGGGUAUCCGACCUGAAAGGGUGACCGGACACACUGACACUGAGACACGGGUCAGACUCCUACGGGAGACAGCAGUGAGGAAUUUUGGACAAUGGGGGAAACCCUGAUCCAGCGACGCCGCGUGAAGGAUGAAGGUCUUCGGAUUGUAAACUUCUUUUGCCUGGGAAUAACGACUCUGUAGAAAUAUGGAGAAUGAAUGUACCAGGCGAAUAAGCCACGGCUAACUUCGUGCCAGCAGCCGCGGUAAUACGAAGGUGGCAAGCGUUACUCGGAAUUACUAGGCGUAAAGGGCAGGUAGGUGGUUUGGUUAGUCUGUUGUGAAAGCUCCUUGCUUAACGGGGAGAGGCCAACAGAUACUGCCAGACUUGAGUAUAGGAGAGGGUACUGGAAUUCCCGGUGUAGCGGUGAAAUGCGCAGAGAUCGGGAGGAACACCCAUGGCGAAAGCAGGUACCUGGACUAUUACUGACACUCAGCUGC